rnacentral:rRNA from 1 species
UACGUAGGUGGCAAGCGUUGUCCGGAUUUACUGGGCGUAAAGAGCGCGCAGGCGGUCGUUCAAGUCGCGUGUGAAAGCCCCCGGCUCAACUGGGGAGGGUCACGCGAUACUGAUCGACUGGAAGGCAGGAGAGGGUUGUGGAAUUCCCGGUGUAGUGGUGAAAUGCGUAGAUAUCGGGAGGAACACCAGUGGCGAAGGCGACUACCUGGCCUGUUCUUGACGCUGAGGCGCGAAAGCUAGGGGAGCAAACGGG